rnacentral:rRNA from 1 species
UACGGGGGGGGCAAGCGUUGUUCGGAAUUACUGGGCGUAAAGGGCUCGUAGGCGGCCAACUAAGUCAGACGUGAAAUCCCUCGGCUUAACCGGGGAACUGCGUCUGAUACUGGAUGGCUGGAGGUUGGGAGAGGGAUGCGGAAUUCCAGGUGUAGCGGUGAAAUGCGUAGAUAUCUGGAGGAACACCGGUGGCGAAAGCGGCGCACUGGACCACAUCUGACGCUGAGGCGCGAAAGCUAGGGGAGCAAACAGG